UGAAAUGCGUGUGUCACACGGUCAAUGCGUGAGAGUUGAGAGCUAUGGUAAUAACAGUCUACACGCAACUUUUUCCCCCUAGGUAAAAUCGGGGACAUUUCCGGGGACUGCUUAAGCCGGGGACAGGUGGUCCAAAACGGGGACAGUCCCCGGAAAUCGGGGACGUCUGGUCACCCUAUCCUGUUAGCCUCCUGCUAGCCUCCUGUUGGCCUCAUCACCUGAAGCUGAUGAAGUCACAGAUACAAAAUCUCCCUGAAAGCAACAAAAGAAAACCUGUUGUUUCUGCUUCUGCUGUGUGCCAGAUUUCCAUCUCCUGAUCUCUCUUGCUGUAGGGCAAUUUGUGUUGGAGCCUGCCUACUUGGGAGGAAACAAGGAAAUUUUUUGGGGGGAAGGGAUUUGUUUAUUUUUGAAUGGACAUUUAAAAAAUACAAA